rnacentral:rRNA from 1 species
UACGAAGGGGGCUAGCGUUGCUCGGAAUCACUGGGCGUAAAGGGUGCGUAGGCGGGUCUUUAAGUCAGAGGUGAAAUCCUGGAGCUCAACUCCAGAACUGCCUUUGAUACUGAGGGUCUUGAGUAUGACAGAGGUGAGUGGAACUCCGAGUGUAGAGGUGAAAUUCGUAGAUAUUCGGAAGAACACCAGUGGCGAAGGCGACACACUGGGCCAUUACUGACGCUGAGGUGCGAAAGCGUGGGGAGCAAACAGG